AGAGAGAUUAUCCUCGAGGGUCUGUAUCAUUGGAAGGGGCAGCUAGGUCUGUGAGUGAACAAACAGAGAAAUCAAGCAGACAUUUAGAUGCUGAAUCGAGUCCCAGCAGAUUCUUACAUCCUGUUUGAAGUCUCUGCUUUCCUUAAAUAUUGUCUGUUGCAAACACAUUGGAGCAAACAGAAGAGACAUUAAACGUUACAGCUCAUAAAACACAUACAAUGACAUUUGUCCCUGGUGGCAGUUGAAGAAAAAAAAUCUGUUGUUUGUUUGAAAUAUGCUAGCAGAUUGUAAAAUUAUUCAAAUCACAUUAACAUGGUAACCAAACCACCACUGAUAAUGUUCUCCUAAACCAAAUAUCUCAGCAGUUUAGCAAUUGUACAAUCACAGGAACACUAUUUAGUACACUUACUAGAUGGCCAUUCAUAAAUGUUGCGGAGCGGUAAUGAUAAAACCAAUGUCUCCACUGGUGUGCUGUAAAGCAUGAAAGGAAGCGUUGUUCAGCAGAAUAAUCCCAAUCCCCCAGUAACUGUCCGACACACAGUUCUGGGCGUCAACUGUUUAAUAGGAGCCACACACGGCCUUAUAUGCAACUUCCCAUGCAAGGGGUUUCCUAAUACAUAUUCCAGGGGCAUUCCCAACUGGACGUAAGAGGAGACUACAGUAAAACAUACACAUAAUUACAUCAGGUGCUCUGGCCAGGUGUUGCUGUAGAUAGCAAUAUCGCCCAGGUAUGCACAUACAUAAUCCUGGAACCCGUCCAAUAGCCGAUCUAUCAUCCGCUGGAAAGUUGGCGGGAUGUUUUUCAUUCCGAAUGGCAUCACCCGAAACUAGUACAGACCAAACGGGGUGACAAACGCCAACUUCGGUAUGGCAUCCUCUGCUAGCGGAAUUUGCCAGUACCACUUGCAGAGAUCUAUUGUAGUGAAGUACUGGCCCCUGGCCAUCUUAUCUAAGAAUUCGUCUAUCCUGGGUAUAGGGUAGGCGUCAGACACAGAUUUGUCAUUCAGAAAAUUCAGUGUCUGCAUGCACAGAGUGGGGACACUGAAUGGUAGUGCUGCACAUUAGGCAGGACUGCUUAAGGAAGCACCUAUAGAAACCAUCUAAAGAGUGGCCAGUGAAGUUAUCACUAGGCUGUAGUGUUUACAGCAAAAAGCCUGAAGGUAAUGAUUCUACUCACCAGAACAAAUGCAAUAAGCUUUAGUUGUUCUAGUGACUAUAGUGUCCCUUUAACAUUGAUUACAUACUUUUAAAAGUUUUUCUUGCUUUUUUUUGGUUUGUAUAUUUGUUUAAAAGUGUUUGCUUACUUGUCUAAAAAUAAUUGUCAAGUGAUACAUGUCCCUUUAACUUGCUCUAUUACCCCUUUUGUUGUGUACUCCCUUGAAUGAAGACAUCUGCUGCCAAGGCAUUAGCCUGUGAACCAUGCAUGAAGCCUAGAUCCCUUCUCUCUGGCCGUUGCACAAGCAGCUCCUAUAUAUUAAUUUGUCCUUCUCCACAUUCUUUGAAGGAACACUGUCAUCACCCAGACCACUUCAUGUCAAUUGAUUUAAGUUUGAAUGCACUCGUGUUGUGUUUGAUUGCGCCACUCAUGCACAUUAGGUCCCUAAUGCUCAUCUAUGAAAAAAACACUGGAUUGGACACCGGUGGAGUAGGUCAUGCCCAGGAAGCAGAGAGGUAAGCAUCAAGGGAGUCUCAGCACUGAAAAAGGUUUAAUCUAAUUGUGACCGCAUCAGUGGGGGGGCUGAAAAAGAGUAGGGGCAAGGACAUUAUAGCAUUAGGAAUACAGAUUUGUAAUCAUAAAGCUAUAGGGUUCCUUUGUGAUCAAAAUCACUUGUUAUUUGUCCCCUUUCUUUAAAUAAACACUUCUCACUUGUAGUUCUAAUGUUUCUGGAUUCAGGCUUAUGUGGCAUUACAUCCUCUCUCAUCUCCAAUGAUUAUUCAAUUAAAUUUGGACCUUUUAUGAUCUGGAUCGAAAUGCUCUGAUGCAGCAGUUCCAAAAAUGUGUACCAGGGCGCCAUGGCUGGCAAACAGGGGUGCCGGAAAAUGUUUCCUCGGUGCUAUGCACCAGGGCCAGUACAGUCAGGGUACCCAUUGGGUGGCCCAUUCACUUAGGGCCACCCAAUCGGUAUAUACCUCUUUUGUUGCUCAACAGGGGCCUGGUCAGGUGCAGCGACCCUUUAAGACCCUGACCUGGUCCCUGUGGUAUCAUCAGGCUGGGAGGAAGUGACAGUCUGUCAUUUCCUCCCAGCUUCUUACUGAGUACCAAGCCGGUGGUUGGAUGCAGCCGUGGAUCAGGCAGCAUGGAGGCAGAGGUGAGGCAUGCUUACUCCCAUCAGCAUCAGCCAAGACCCCAAGCAAGCAACCCUCCUCGACAUAAGGUAAGCUAAUUGUAGUAUAUCAGAUUGUGUGUGUGUGUCUCUUUGUCAUCUGUGUGUGUGUAUCUGUGUGUCAGAGUGUGCAUCGAUGUGUGUCGGUGUAUGUAUCUGUGUGUCAUGGAGUGUGCAUGUAUCAGUGUUUGUGUGUGUCAGCAUGCGUGUAAAUGCAUGUCAGUGUGUGCGUUUGUGUGUGUAUAUGUUGGUAUAUGCAUAUGUCAAGGUGUGUGCAUGCAUCAGUGUGUGUUUAUGUGUCGUUGUGUAUUUAUAUGUAUGUAUGUGUCGGUGUUUAUAUUAAUUUGUGUGUAUGUGUCACUGUAUUUAUAUGUAUCUCUGUGUUAAUGUGUAUGUAUAUCUAUGUAUAUAUGUAUGUGGUAGUGGAUGUGUGUAUGUGCAUACAUACAAGCAAUCAAACACCAGCACAACAUGCAAACACACUCCUGCAAUCUAACACAAAUAUUACAUACAAACACAGCCCUGCAUUCAAACUCCUAAAUUAUAUACAAACACAUUCCUUCAAUCAAACAUUAAUACUACACACAAAUGUACAUGCACAUUUAAAAGUGAAGAUUACAUACAAACACACCCCUGUAUUAACACUAAACUUAUAUGUAAGCACCCCUUUAAUUAAACGAUAUACAUUAUACCAGUGCUCCUCAACCCUCCCCUCAAGGCACACCAAACAGCCCAGGAUUUGGGGAUUACCUGGGUGUGUCUAAAAUGAUUUAAAAAAAACAAAAACAACUAAAAACACCUUAGACUCUAAGGUGUUUUUUUUUUUCUUUUUCUUAACACCAUAGACAGGUAAUACCUAAAUCCUGGACUGUUUGGUGUGCCUUGAGGGGAGGGUUGGGGAGCACUGCAUUAUACUAUAGUGCCAGUAUAUGCCACAGCACUGUACAGAUAUGCAACCUAAAACUUUGUUUUGACUUGGGGUGCUUUGGAAAAAUAUUGAAAAAUUAAGUGGACCUUGAAGCUAAAAUAUUUGUGAACCACUGCUCUGAUGUGUUUAAUGUUAGGGGUCCUCCCGAACAGUUCGGCAUUCAAAUGGAGUUUUAUUUGUAGCUUUUGUAGGUAGUCUGCUUAGUAUACAAGUAACUGUCAUAAAUGCAUCAGUCUAUAUUUAUUCAAAUUCAGUGAAUCUGUCAGCAGGCACCUGGCCAUCUGCAUUAAAGAGCG